ncrna:unclassified sequences DTF3800-III RNA
UUAGCGGUAUCGUAAGUCCCGGCUAAGUUGGGUGUUCGGAGAACACCCCAAUCCAUCUUAUUAAGGUGGUGGUUAUCGGCUACCGGGCCGAGCCGCUAA